rnacentral:rRNA from 1 species
CGCUGAAACACCGGUUCUAGUACGAUCACCGAAGUUAAGCAUCGUAGAGCCAGGUCAGUACUUAGAUGGGGGACCGCUUGGGAACACCUGGUACUGUAAG